GCUGUCUGCAUUCUGAUGUGAUGUGUGAGAGACUUGGCAGCCGCUCUGCAGAGCAACAGCACCUGAUGUGGCGCCGUAUCGAAGGACAUGACCUAAUGGACGUUAAAGGAUGAAUUGAAACCAAUUAGUACCGUUGGACUAGAACUAAUGGGCGUUCCAAACUGGCGAUAGCAUGCCAACCGCAAAAGGUAAAGGUCCAUCAACAUCCCAGCGCUACCGUCCUGCCUCUGGGUACGAUGACGCCACACUGGCACAGAAGCGAGAAUACUGGAGGACCAAGAAGCGUGAGCAGAGGGCGCGACUGUCGCAGCGAAGAGGAAAACCACACGACGCGGGGGGUCUCCAGCUCCUCAGUGCCCCGGCGCCGCUGACCUCCACCUCCUCCGGUCCCUUUAAGUUGCCCCUGACCGACUUUCCUGCGCCGCAGAGCGGAAGCGCCGUCCAGGACAGUGCACUGGGAAGUGCCGAGAGCCGCAAGGAGAAAUGGUUCCAAACCAUGAAGCUCAACAAGGUGUUGCCUCACAUAGCAGCGACGUGUUCCAUCACGGCCCGAGCUGCCAGCGACGCAGCAGCAACGGACUGCCUGAAAGCAAAGGGUCGCGUGACCAGAGCCGUUACCUCAGCCACGUCUAGUGGAACCCAGCAGGACACCAGUUCCUCAGUGCCUCCCGUCAAAGUCACCAGAUAUACCAAUGGCAGCGCCGCUAAAGCAACACCUACGCCAUACGUGUCUAUGCAGGGCCCAUCGGACCCCAGAACGCAACACAAGGCCCCGGUUGCACUACACGUUCAGCCUAAACUCCCACCCACCAACGCCAGGCUCCUUGUGUCUUCUCCAUGUGACCCCGUUCCUGUUAAAGCACUGAACACAACACCUCAAAGCAGAACAACGCGUGCCUUGGUCACGGCGCAGAGGGCGAAAGGCGAUGCGCAGGCGCUCCCGGAGUCCGAGGAGGAGAGAGCGGCGAAGCGCAGGGAGCAGUGGCGUCUCAAGAAGCGAGAGCAGAGAGCGAAGCUGGCCGCUCGCGCCGCUAGAGCCAGAGAGAAGGUGCAGUGCGUGGACGCGAGCGGGCAGAGGCGGCAGGCGGCCGACGCAGGCCUUCACCUGCGGAAGCAGGGCGCCGCUCGGCUCAAAGCCCUGUUCACGUCGGCCAAAGGAGAAAAUGUGAGAGGGCAAAGUCGGGGAGCGGGUUUAGCUGCUGGUAACCUGCAAGCACAAGGCAACAGGACAGCACAGGCGGCCAUUCCCUGCGAUUCCACGUCUGGGAGAAAAACGGGGGAAUUGCACAGAAAGUUGCCAAGUUACGUUCACCUUUCUGUUUCCCGUGGAGUGGCCCGUUGCAAAACGCCCAGGCAGAGGCUCAUCGAAUCCCAGAAGAAUUUGAUGAGUCAAAGAAAUAUAAGAUGCAAAUCCCUAUUGGUUUCCUCAGUCUUUGGCAGCAGAAAUCUCCACAGAGUUGACCCCGGCGACUCACCCGAGCAGGUAGUGGCCAAGAGGCGGGAGUACUGGCGGAUCAAAAAGCGCGAGCAGCGAGCCAAGCUGUCGAUGGAGGUGAAGGCUCGGCUGAAGGAGAAGGACUCUCUGAUGCGACGAGUCAAGCGCUACCAGAGGAUCCUGGAGGAGAUGAGGAAGGCCAGAGCGCCGCCCCACUCCGCAGGGGGGCUCCUGAGCCACGCCUCCGAGGGCAUCGGAGGGUUCAUCAAGGAGGACGGGACGGUCACCGCUAACGCUCCCCAAGGUCCGACGGGUGGCAACGCAGCAGUGCCGAACAGCAUGGAGGAACCCCGCAAAAGUACCCCCGCGGCACAACCCCAGCGUCCGCCGAAUGCUCAGCCAGCUCAGGUGUCUGGACAGGCGGAGGAUAAGCCUCCCAGACUCAGAGCUCACAGUGAAAGCACAAACGCGUCCAACCCCGCGCCAUUAACCAUCCAAUGCGCGGCUCAGCUCACGCUCACGCAUCCCAAAACCCCUUUACUCGCACGCCCCCAAGGACGCUCCGCGGGGUCAGACGCCGGCGGCUGCGUUAUGAAAAUGGCCGUGUCCAGCGCCGCCCCGUCGCUGUCGCCGCUCGUCCCGGACUCUGGGCUGACGGAGGACGAGAGGAUGGCGAAGAAGAGGGAGUACUGGAGGAUGAAGAAGCGCGAGCAGCGGGCCGCCCGCGCGGCGCGCCUGAAGCAGGGCGCCGCCUUACAGAGGAGGAAGGCCCAGAAGCAGCUGAGCCGAGGACUCGGCGGCCGCGCGAGAGCUCCCAGCAGGACCGAGCCCGACAUAAAGCAGGAGCGUGAGUCUAUGCCAGCAGUUGACCUAAAUUCCCAACCACAACAAGCCUUCUGUCCGGAUAUCAAGCCCCCCACCUCUCCACCAGCACCACCUCCAGUGCCCCCGCAGGAGUCGGAUACGGCCCUGAGUGCAGACAGCCAAGCUGCCACGCUGCUGGCCGUGGCCUCCAUGAAGAAGCUCCUGGAGGAGUCGCUUAGCACAGUCACAGAACACAAAGCUGUGCAGACAGACGUUAAAAAGGAGGCGACGGAGCAAGACAUGAAGCCGGAUGUAGCUCAGCUCUUUCCUGUGAAGGAUGAGGUGAGUCCUCUUGAUGACCUGACGUUACAGACAAACUGGCAGCCAGAUACUGAUGCCUUGGUAGCCAACAGUUCACAAAGCCCUCAUCUCAAAGACUUAUCGCAUCCUAGUCGGACGCUUUCCCCUCCUAAAACCUCCAGUGAGAAAGUCCCACUUGCAGCCUGUGAACAUUUCUCCCAGGCCCGUGACCCGUCACCGCCGCGCAGAACCCGGCCGCUCCCGACCCAAAAACCGAGCCUUCACAGCUGCUGCGCCCCCGAGCCACCAAAGCUGCAUCACCUGCCCAUGGACCAGCAACACCAGCUACAGGGGCAGUGUCAAAGCAGCCGCUCGCCGCCAGCGAGAGUAUUGAGCUGUGCUACGGUGGAGCUGAGUGGUUUGACCAGCAUCCAGAGGAAGAGGGAGUACUGGAAGCUGAUGAAGAGGCAGCAAAGGGCCAGGCUGAAGGCCAGGCAGGGAGGAGCAUCCCUACGAAGCAUGCAGGCUCCAGCAAAACUAUCCCUUCGACCGAGGCCAUCGAUUGCCUCAGUGGCCACAAUACCGAACAUCUCCACUGUCCUGGUCACAAGCCCUACAACAUGCAAUGGUCAGCAGUGUCCUACAGACACACUACAACUCAUCAACAGUGUCUCCUGUUCACUCAGGAGUGAGCAGAGCCAUAUGAACACUGGGCCUUCGCCGAUCUCACCCAACUGUCUAGGACCGCGCCAGGGUCAGCAACACGUCGGGCCAGGUUGCCCAAAAUGGACGUCCAAAAGCACCGAUAUUGACCCAGGCCCCUCUCUCCCUACUCUGAAGCCACCAGACAACCCACUAGCCUGCAUCAACCUGCAACCCAUUGAACUCCCUGACCAACCUUCAGAUUCCAGCCUGGGUCCACUCAGAAUCCCUUGUGUUAAAUUCCAGAGCCCCACAUGUGUGAUAGAUCCUCCCACCAAGCUGCCUCCUAUUAGCACCAUGGUUCCACCAAAGCCAGUCCCUGGGGAGUCUGAGGAGGAGUUUCUGAAGAGGAAGCGGGAGUACUGGCGGAUCAAAAAGAAGGAGCAGAGAGCCAGGAAGGCCUUCCGGGACAAGGGAAUCCCUCCAAGGAGGUCCUCUGAGAACUGGAGGCCUAUCCUACCCACACAAAACCUUCAGACACAGGUAAGAGCUGUGAUGAUCACGUCUUGCACAUAUAAUUACCCACCUGGCUUUUAACAGAGACUCUUACACAAACCCACACAUGAUGAUGACAUCACUAUGGCCUUGACUGAAGGCAGUAUACUGUAUGCAGUAUAAAAGGGACAGGGUACAGAGACCUCAUCACUGUCCUGCUGUGUGAAGCAGUCCAAUAGUAGAUCAACACACAUUGUUGGCUUUAAAGAUGCAGCACCUGAGUUGGUUUGGUGUGAUUACUUGGUUACUUUGUUGGACGUUUGUUAAAUUAAGACUCUUAUCCCUGUAGGACUCGGGUCAGUGGGGGAGCUGCGCUGAGUCUGACAAUCUGUUGAGGUGAGAAAAGCAGUGUAUGUGUGUAUGUUUAUUUUCAUAUAUGUAUUAAAUGAGGAUCACUCUUGUCUUUCCUCUAUAGAAAUUCACAGGACUCCAUCCCAGGAUUGUUUCCAUGCUCAAAUUACACAGCUCCACUAGAAG
ensembl:lncRNA uncharacterized LOC114845156